CCCGGGUCUUGUACACACCGCCCGUCACACCAUGGGAGCGGGAUGUACCAGAAGUAGGUAGGCUAACCGGCAAGGGGCCGCUUACCACGGUGCGUUUCGUGACUGGGGUG
rnacentral:rRNA from 1 species